UGAUGACGGUACCGUUUGUAAGCUCCGGCUAACUCCGUGCCAGCAGCCGCGGUAAUACGGGGGGAGCAAGCGUUGUUCGGAUUUACUGGGCGUAAAGGGCGCGUAGGCGGCCUCCGCAAGUCAGUUGUGAAAUCUCCGAGCUUAACUCGGAAAGGUCAACUGAUACUGCGGGGCUAGAGUGCGGAAGGGGCAACUGGAAUUCUUGGUGUAGCGGUGAAAUGCGUAGAUAUCAAGAGGAACACCUGCGGCGAAGGCGGGUUGCUGGGCCGACACUGACGCUGAGGCGCGAAAGC
rnacentral:rRNA from 1 species